rnacentral:lncRNA from 1 species
UGCAGCAACCUUGGUUUUGUGUUGCUGUUAGAUUUGAACUAAUAUUUUGUUCAUUUUGAAGUCUAGUUUGCUAUAAGCUUUUUUAUUGAUGUAAUUUGAUGUUGAUGGAGCUGUUAACCAGCUUUGUGUUAAUGUACAAGUUAAGUUUUUUGUUAUUUGGAAAGCUUAGUGGAAGUAGGUGUAUGUUUAGGUAGAAAUUUGACUUGUAAGUUUUUUUUUAUUCUGAUAUAUGUAAUGGCAAUCUGCCUAUGAUUGAUGUAUGAAAAAAAAUACAAUUCAUUUUUUUCAUCAAUACUCUCAACUAUUCUUCAUGCUCUUUCUUUCUUUGCUUUAGUUCUAUUCUUGUUUUCCUUCCCAUUUCUGCUCUUAAAGCUUGAACUUCAAGCAUUUUUCCUUCAUAUUUUACCCGGGUAUAUUACGUUGCUGCUGGUGCUUUGUUUGCAACUCUUACUUUACCCGGUUAAAGUACUCUCAAACUCCAACAAUUGGUAUCAAGAGCUUUCAUCUUAGAGGACCUAUUGUUGAAAAUUAAAUGGCUUCAUCAGGCUUUUCUCCUGCUGCACCACCAGUCUUUAAUGGUGAAGGGUUCCACAUAUGGUAGGUUAAAAUGAGGACUUACCUGCAGGCCUUUGAUCUGUGGGAAGUUGUUAACACAGACAUCGAGCUAACUCCACUGAGGGCCAACCCCACUGUGGCUCAGAUUCGUCAGCAUGCAGAUGAGAGGACUAAAAGGCACAAGGUCAUGUCCUGUAUUCAGAACUGUGUUUCUGAUGUGAUCUUCACCAGGACCAUGACCUGUGAGACCCCGAAGCAGGCUUGGGACAAGCUUAAGGAGGAGUUCCAAGGCACUGAAAGAACUAGGCGGCAGCAGCUUCUAAAUCUGAGAAGGGAUUUCGAGAAUCUGAAAAUGAAAGAAAAGGAAACUGUCAAACAAUAUUCUGACAGGAUAAUGGCUGUUGUAAAUAGUAUAAGGCUCCUUGGUGAGCAGUUUGAUGAAGUAAGGAUAGUUGAGAAGGUUCUCUCUACUUUACCAGAGAGAUAUGAGGCAAAGAUAUCCUCCUUAGAGGACUCGAGAGACUUGACAAGGAUCUCCCUGACUGAGCUUAUCAAUGCUCUUUAUGCUCAGGAACAGAGAAGAGCCAGCAGGUUCGAUGAGCACCAGAAGGGUGCAUUUCAGGCCAAGAGCAAGCCUAGCUCGAGUAAUGCUGCCUACAAAGGCAAGAAAAACUGGAGGGAUAAAUCCAAAGCUGAUGCCUCAAAAAAAUGGGACAGACCAUACAGACACUGUAAAAGGCCUGGUCAUCCAGAGGCCAGAUGCUGGUUCAAACCAGAUGCCAUAUGUCAACAUUGCAAGAAAAGAGGCCAUGUUGAAAGGGUUUGCAAAGAAAAAGACAAACCUGCCCAGAAUCAACCACAACAUAAGGCUGCUGAGGCUCGAGUAGCUGAACAAGGCAGUGACAAUGAAGAACAAGUGUUUGCAGUCUCAUGUUUAGCUGCAAAAUGCAAGGUUAAAAAGGGAUGGCUCCUUGACAGUGGCUGCACCAACCACAUGUCACCAGAUGCAACUAUCUUCAAAACUCUAGAUAGAAGCUGUAAGACUAGAGUAAAAAUUGGAGAUGGACACUGUAUUCAGGCAGAAGGCAUAGGUGAUGUGAUAAUAUGCACUCCAUCAGGUAACAAACUCAUCCCAAAUGUACUGUUUGUACCUGAAAUUGAUAGAAAUUUGUUGAGCAUAGCUCAGUUGCUGGAAAAAGGAUAUACUGUGGUCUUGAAAGGAAAGGAGUGCCAAAUCAGUGACCAAAAAGGGUCCAUACUCAUGACAGUGGCCAUGUCCGACAAGAGUUUUGUUGUGGACUGGAAUAAGGACCUUGAUAGUGCCUAUGCUGCUUUCAUAGAAGAAUCCAAGCUUUGGCAUCAAAGGCUUGGUCAUGCCAACUAUAAAUCAAUGGCUCGAAUGGUCAGCAAGGAUAUGGCUGAAAACUUCAUCAAAUCUGUUCAAAUGAAGAUGUGUGUGAAGUUUUUCAGUUAGGAAAACAAGCCAGGCUUCCAUUUCCUACAAACACAGCCUGGAGAGCCUCAGAGAAACUUCAAUUAGUGCACACAGAUGUGUGUGGCCCUAUGAAGUCCGAGUCACUCAAUGGCAGCAGGUACUUCAUUCUUUUCAUUGAUGAUAGUACCAGAUACUACUGGAUUUACUUCUUAAAGAAUAAGACUGAAGUUGUUCAAGCCUUCCUGAAGUUUAAAACAGCAGCUGAGACAGAGACUGGCUGUAAACUAAAGUCCAUAAGAUCAGACAAUGGGACAGAAUAUAUUUCAGCUCAAUUCCAAGACAUUUGUGCAAGAGCUGGCAUUAAACAUCAACUAACAAAUGUGUACACACCUCAGCAGAAUGGGGUAAGUGAAAGAAAAAAUAGAAGCCUACUUGAUAUGGCCAGAUGCAUGAUAUUUGAGAAGAACUUGCCCAAAAAUUUAUGGGUUGAGGCAGUAAAUACUGCUGUUUAUGUUUAAAACAGACUUCCAACCAAAGCUUUAGAGCAAAGGACUCCAUUUGAGGCUUGGUUUGGAUUCAAGCCAUCACUGGCUCACUUAAGAAUCUUUGGUUGCUUAUGCUAUUCACAAGUUCCAGCUGUUAAAAGAAGUAAGUUUGACAAAAGAGCACAAGCAGGCAUCCUGGUAGGCUAUAGCUCAGAGAAAAAGGGCUAUAGGAUCUUAGAUCCUUCAACAAACAAAGUAUUUGCAAGUAGAGAUGUUGUGUUCAAUGAGAGAGCAAGCUGGAAUUGGGACAAGAAUGAACCUGAAGCUGUCUCUGAAGAACUUGUGGUUGAUCAAACAGUCAGAAGAAAAUAGUCCUGAUAUGGACUUUGAUGAUGUGCCAAUCAGAGGUACCAGAUCCUUGGCUGAAAUUUAUGAAAGGGCACAUUUAGCCUUAGUAGAGCCAACCUAUUUUGAAUAGGCUGUGAAGCAUGAAGGCUGGAAACAGGCAAUGGCAGAUGAAAUUGCCAUGAUCGAGAAGAACCAGACUUGGAAGCUGGUUGAGAAGUCUGCUAACAGGAAGAUUAUUGGAGUAAAAUAGGUCUACAAGGCCAAGCAGAAUGCUGAUGGAAGUCUGAAUAAACUGAAGGCUAGACUUGUGGUAAAAGGAUUCAGUCAAAAAUAUGGACUGGAUUACUUUGAAACAUAUACUCCUGUUGCCAGAUUGGAUACGAUUAGGCUGAUUGUUGGAUUGGCUGCUCAUAUGCAGUGGAAUGUCUAUCAACUAGAUGUAAAAUCGGCCUUUCUAAAUGGAAUCCUUGAAGAGGAAAUUUAUGUCGAGCAACCAGAGGGAUUUGAAGUACCUGGCAAGGAAGACUUGGUUUACAAACUAAGAAAGGCCUUAUAUGGCCUAAAACAAGCACCCAGAGCAUGGUAUGCUAGAAUUGACUCUUAUCUGCUUAGUUUGAAGUUUGAGAGAAGUGCUAGUGAGCCAACGUUGUAUGUCAAGAAGAAUAAAACUGAAACUCAUCUUGUGGUGUCAUUGUAUGUUGAUGACCUAUUGGUGACAGGAGGAGAUGAAGUUGAUUUGGCAGAAUUUAAGAUAAAGAUGAUGCAAAUGUUCGAAAUAACUGACCUGGGGCUGAUGACAUACUUCCUAGGAAUGGAAGUAAGCCAGACACAAGAAGGCAUCUUCUUGAAACAGGAAUCAUUUGCCUUGAAGGUGUUGACAAAGUUUUCAAUGCUGAACUGCAAGCCAACUCCUACACCUGUUGUAACUGGGUUGAAACUAUCAAGCCAUGAGGGUCAUGAAGAAGUCUGUGAAACUACCUACAGAAGCUUAAUUGGUUGUCUUCUAUACUUGACUGCAACGAGACCAGACAUCAUGUUUGUUGUAAGUCUACUUUCUAGAUUCAUGCACUGCUGCAAUGUACAACAUUUUCAAGCUGCAAAACGAGUACUGAGAUACAUUAAAGGUACUCUAAAUCAUGGUCUCUUGUUUAGCAAGGCUGCAGAACUUAGAUUGAAAGGCUACACAAAUAGUGACUGGGCUGGUUUUAAAGACGAUAUGAAGAGCACAUCAGGGUAUGCUUUCACAUUGGGGUCAGGAAUGGUAUGUUGGAGUUCCAAAAAAUAGUCUCUGGUGGCUCAAUCGACUGCUGAGGCCGAAUAUGUAGCUGCUGCUAGUGCAGUAAACCAAGCUAUUUGGCUGAGGAAAAUUUUAGCUUAUUUGAACUUAUCUCAAGUAGAAGCAACAGAGAUACUUUGUGACAAUAAAUCUGCUGUUGCAAUUGCAAAGAACCCUGUCUUCCAUGGUAGAACUAAGCACUUUGACAUAAAGCUGCAUGUGAUAAGGGAGAUGGAGCAAGCUUGUGAAAUAAAGCUGGUUCAUUGCAAUUCGGAGGAUCAAAUUGCUGAUAUCUUGACCAAGGGUCUUGGUGUGUCGAGAUUUAACAAGUUAAGAAAGCUCAUGGGAGUUUGCAGCAUGGAGCUCAAGGAGGAGUGUUGAAGCUGAUCUCCAUGCAGUUGGUAUGAAGCAAGUGCAGCUGGAAGCUGGCCAUGCAAGCUCGUGACAAGCAUGCAGCAACCUUGGUUUUGUGUUGCUGUUAGAUUUGAACUAAUAUUUUGUUCAUUUUGAAGUCUAGUUUGCUAUAAGCUUUUUGAUUGAUGUAAUUUGAUGUUGAUGGAGCUGUUAACCAGCUUUGUGUUAAUGUACAAGUUAAAUUUUUUGUUAUUUGGAAAGCUUAGUGGAAGUAGGUGUAUGUUUAGGUAGAAAUUUGACUUGUAAGUUUUU